CAGUAGCCGCGGGAAUACGGAGGGGGCUAGCGUUGUUCGGAAUUACUGGGCGUAAAGCGCACGUAGGCGGCUUGGUAAGUUAGAGGUGAAAGCCCAGGGCUCAACCCUGGAAUUGCCUUUAAGACUGCCGAGCUAGUAGGUGAGAGAGGUGAGUGGAAUUCCGAGUGUAGAGGUGAAAUUCGUAGAUAUUCGGAAGAACACCAGUGGCGAAGGCGGCUCACUGGCUCAUUCUAGACGCUGAGGUGCGAAAGCGUGGGGAGCAAACAGGAUUAGAUACCCCCGUAGUCCCUGUCUCUUAUAC
rnacentral:rRNA from 1 species